GUCCACGCCCUAAACGAUGUCGACUAGUUGUCGGGCCUUUACAGGCUCGGUAACGCAGCUAACGCGUGAAGUCGACCGCCUGGGGAGUACGGUCGCAAGAUUAAAACUCAAAGGAAUUGACGGGGACCCGCACAAGCGGUGGAUGAUGUGGAUUAAUUCGAUGCAACGCGAAAACCUUACCUACCCUUGACAUGCCCGGAAGCUCGCAGAGAUGUGAGCGUGCCCGAAAGGGAGCCGGGACACAGGUGCUGCAUGGCUGUCGU
rnacentral:rRNA from 1 species